GCUAGACGUCAUUGUGUAGGAAAUAAUUACAUUUGUCAGCAAAACAAAUUUUGGUACAAAUUAUGUGUUUAGAAAGGAUAGAAGAUUGUUCAGCCAUGCACCAAAUAUAUCAUUAUUUUAGCUGAGUGUUUUUAUUACGGGAAAUAACUAUAUUGUUAACUUUUUACAUUGCAGUUCAAAAUACGACCUAGUGGUAUACUGAAGCCUUAUGUUUAACCUCUUAACGGGUACGGGAUUCUGCUUCCCAUAGCAGGGAUUUGCAGGUUAGUGAAGUUAAAAAGCAAAAAGCCACCUAAUGCAAUUGAUACCGCUCCAGAAGCAAUGAUCAUAGAUUAUGAAUAUAUGUAUCACUUAGACUUUACUAAGGCAGUUUUUUUGCACAUCAGCGCCCUUACGUAGAAGUAAUUUGUCAUACCGGCGUAUAUCAUGGUACAUAAAGCCAUGCACUUAAAUAAUGCCAAGCGCACGCAGCAUUUGAUUUCAUUGUGCAUGGAGUACAUUAAUAAUAUAUUGUAUUUUUCUUUUUCAUAUUCGGAAUCCCCACCACUCCCUCGGUUCAUGCUAAGCCUCCUGUCCUCUCCAGAAGCAGCACUGUGCUACCUUAACCUAAGGAUAGCGUCACACCCAUCGCAAGCCGCACACUACUUCUUAAGAGAGCAGCGGUUGGAAGCACCUGACUUUGCUGCUGCUGCUGUGGACUACAACUUCCAUCAUGCCUAGCCCGCAUCUCUUUAUCUCGCUAACAAUUACGGGUAUUUUAGUCAGCAGAAACAUAAAAGGUUGCCAGACUUUUACUAUCUUUCCAAUAUUUUUUUUAAAAAUGCUGCAGGCGCCUCAAAAAAAAAAAAAAAACAAAAACAAAAAAAAGACAGAAGGUGUUGCCAUUGUGUUGUGUUUCUGUUGCACAACCAAAGAAAAAAAAAUAUUACUCCCUAUGAGAAAGUUUGAGUCCAUAGCGAAAAACAA